rnacentral:rRNA from 1 species
CCAGUACCGUGAGGGAAAGGCGAAAAGAACCCCGGCGAGGGGAGUGAAAAAGAACCUGAAACCGUGUACGUACAAGCAGUGGGAGCACCUUCGGGUGUGACUGCGUACCUUUUGUAUAAUGGGUCAGCGACUUAUAUUCUGUAGCAAGGUUAACCGUAUAGGGGAGCCGCAGGGAAACCGAGUCUUAACUGGGCGUUAAGUUGCAGGGUAUAGACCCGAAACCCGGUGAUCUAGCCAUGGGCAGGUUGAAGGUUGGGUAACACUAACUGGAGGACCGAACCGACUAAUGUUGAA